rnacentral:rRNA from 1 species
CAACGUUAGUUGAGAAUGGACAUGGUACUACGAUUGUCCAUUUAAUCCUGUUCUCUACAAAGAUAAAACGUGACGAGUAUGACAUGUAUGACACUAAGUAGACUACCCAAAGAACGUGGACGUUUACUGUCGCAGUACUACAACAGUUGCCACACCAACUCCGUCUUCCACAUAGGUUUAUACUACGUCCACUUCGACGACGUCUAGUCUUUCUCGUUUUUCCAAGUUGUUGGUACUUUAGGAUCGACUCCUGCACGCUCUGACCCUAUAUCGGUCACUGGCCCCCGUUCCCGUCGCACGCGUCCCACUAGCUGUUCCUGAUGACGCCGGGCUACCCUCAGCACGAAAAGUUGAUGAGUCUCCGUCUGAAGUGGCACUUCGGGGCGCUGGCGUAGUAUGUCUAAUAACAGGUCCACUAACGCUGCGUCCUCCAGGGGCCCCACCUCCUGGAGCUGCGGUGGCAAGCCUGCAGUGGCUCCACCUCCUGCUGCGGUGGCAGGCCUCAAGGAGUUCUACCUCCUGGAGCUGCGAAACAUGUAUGUAGAUCUCUUCACCA